rnacentral:lncRNA from 1 species
AAAAUCAAAGGUCGCCUUCUCCCUGCCUAUUUUUCCAAAAUCGAACUUGUCGGCAACGUUCUCGCCGCCUACUCUACUAUCAGAAAAGGUAAUUUUUAUUUAAUGAAAAUAAAUUUAGAAUCUAUUUAUGCUAUAAAGAAUAUAUAGUUUAGCCAAUAAAAAAUUUAGCAAAUAUUGUUAUGUUAAAAAAUCAUACCAAACAUUUAUACAUUAUAUACUCUAAGCCUGUGCUGAUUUGAAGUAGUAAAGAUGAGCUUUUAUAUAAAACUUCAUGUCAUGGGGCAUUACUCAAGACUUGAUCUUACACCCAACAUGGAGAAUGUAAGAAAUUCUAAAUUCUCUCGACCUAUGGGUGGUAGACAUUGGAUUGUUAGUUCAAAUAGAGCCUCAGUUAUUGGAGUCAAAUUGAUUAUACUUAAUUUUAACUACAGAUAAAUUUUCCAUAAUUGAGAUUGUUCAAAAGUUCUAUUUUGAAAUUUUAGGUAAUUUAGUUCUUGUGUGCAGCUGUAAUCUUCAUCUCUUUAACAUUGGAGAAAAAUAUGUUGAACUCUGCGCUGUUGUAAGUGUUUCACUGAACACUCUGCGCAUCGUGGAGUGGAGGCACUCUGCGCUGCGCAGAGUGCUUCAAAGACAAGUAGUUUGCUGCGCGGAGUGCCUCACACUCCGUGCAACACGUAGUCAGACUUAGCGCGACUGUUUUUUUUUUUUUAAGAAAACAAAAAAAAUCAGAAAAUAACAUUUCAUAACAAUGUUAAAACAAAUACACAUAAUUAUAUACAAUAAUAUCAAAACUUUCAUAAAAACUUCAUUUUGCUUAAAUAAUUACAUUAAUAAAAAAUCAAGAACACUUCGUCCCAAAUCCCACUUCAAUAUUUACUAAAUAUAUAUCAAUUCCUAACUGUUUAAUUUUACGAGUAAUUUUAUAAUAUCUCACAAAAAAUAUUAUAAUCUUAUCCACAACCAUCAUAGUUUUUUUACUUUUUUCCUUUAUCUAAGUACUUUAAUUUGUACUUAUUCAAUAUAUACUUUGUUUAUAUAUAUUCUUUUUCUAAGUAAAAUAAUCAAUUACAUUUAGAUUAAUUGAUUUAACAAGACAUUUAUAUGAACAUAUUUAAAUUAUUUAAAGCAUCAAAUAAUUUAUCAAAUAUGAUAUAUAUUCGAUUACAAGAAUCAUGUAUCAAGAAAUUCGAAUUAAAACUUUAAUAUUUGAAUAUCAACAAAAUAAUUUAAAAACGAGGAAUUUUUUUGUAAAAAAUAGUUCAAUUUCAUUCUAAUCACAAAACUUUUAUUCUUUCUAACUAUGCAGGCCAACUUCUACUACCAAAAAUAGAUAUUGUUCAACACGGUGCGGGAGAAAUAAAAUACAAACAUAACAAUGUGCCAACAAAUAAUCACUAUUAAUUUUACAAUAAUACUCUGUAUCGUAGUAAUGUUGAACAUCAGUUUAAAUUUUAACAUGUUAUGGGUCAUAUUAAAUCACCCAUAAUUCAUUGUAUUUAAUUGCACUUAUAAUACAAUAAUACUUUGUAUUGUAGUAAUAUUAAACAUCAGUUUAAUGGUAAUAUUGAACAUCAGUUUAAAUUUCAACAUGUUAUGGGUCAUAUUAAAUCGACCAUAAUUCAUUGUAUUUAAUUGCACUUAUAAUUUAAUGUUAUUAGCUAUUAGUGCUUCAUCUAAACUAAUUUUCUGCACAUCCUAAAUUUCAUCCACAUAGAAUGUGUUCUUGGGUGUGUCUUAGAUCUAAAUAAGCCCUACAAGGCUUGAACCUCUGAUAAGAAAGUAACUCCAUAGCCAUAUAUUUAACAUAUGAGUUGUACUCUAACUUAGUUUUAUUUAUUUAUAAUUCUUUACAAGAUUGUCUUUGACAUAUAUAAAAGAGUAGAAAAGUUAGUCACCAAAAAGCUGUUUAAGAAAAUUCCUCUAUUCGUUCCUAAGGUGGCAUUCCUCACACUUAUUCUUGUUAUUAUGUUUGUUCUAUGUGCUUAGAACAAAUAAUUUUCACCUUUCUCAUUAGAUAAAUGGUGAUGAAUAUUGUUUUUCAUCGAUCAAUGUUGUUUGAGUAAACAUAUUAGGCAAAAUAGAAAAUGAAGACGUGUUUUGAUGUUUGUUAGUGCCUAUUUCUAAGUUAGUGUCUAAAUAAGAAAAUUAUAGUUUGAGUAGACAAGAAAUGGUUUCUUAUUGUAGAGUAGUUAAACAAAAUAUUCAAUACUAAAGUUCUUUAUUAUCUCUAACUUAGUUUUAUUUAUUUAUAAUUCUUUACAAGAUUGUCUUUGACAUAUAUAAAAGAGUAGAAAAGUUAGUCACCAAAAUUAAUAGUGAAAGAGUAGAAAAGUUAGUCACCAAAAAGCUGUUUAAGAAAAUUCCUCUAUUCGUUCCUAAGGUGGCAUUCCUCACACUUAUUCUUGUUAUUAUGUUUGUUCUAUGUGCUUAGAACAAAUAAUUUUCACCUUUCUCAUUAGAUAAAUGGUGAUGAAUAUUGUUUUUCAUCGAUCAAUGUUGUUUGAGUAAACAUAUUAGGCAAAAUAGAAAAUGAAGACGUGUUUUGAUGUUUGUUAGUGCCUAUUUCUAAGUUAGUGUCUAAAUAAGAAAAUUAUAGUUUGAGUAGACAAGAAAUGGUUUCUUAUUGUAGAGUAGUUAAAAAAAAUAUUCAAUACUAAAGUUCUUUAUUAUCAAGCAUAAGUGAUUCCUACAUAUAUAUAUAUAUAUAUAUAUAUAUAUGUAGGAAUCAAUAUAUAUAUAUAUAUAUAUAUAUUGACACUUUGAUGCAUAAUUUCUUCUUAGUAAUUAGGAGAAUGUCAAAAUAUAAUUUUUGCAGAUGUCGUUAGAAUACAUAUUAUCUCCAAAUCAAUGGUUUUCUGCUACCAUUACUCAAUUUACGAAUCAUCAAUAUUUUCAAGAUUUUGCAGAAUUUAUAGAUAGAGACGAUCAAGCUUCUUUAUUAUGCAGUCACUUUCAAGGAUUUAUAAAUGGAAGUGUGUAUAAAGAACAAAAUGAAAAAUUUAGCAACAAAUUAAUACACGAGUUUAUAAUGAGACUUAUCAACUGCAGCAAAAAUAAUGAAGUUUGAGUACGAUUAGACGAUCAUGUAGCCCGUUUUAACAUGCAAGAAUUUUGUCUAAUUACCGGAUUACCAUGCCAUGAAGUAGCUGUUGAUCUGAAUUUCAAUAAUACUCGCCUUAGGGAUGAAUACUUCGAUGGUUCAAAAAGAAUUACAUGAAAAGAUUUUCUGAAGUAUUUCACAUGUGUGAAAAUCACGAUGAUAAAUUCAAGUUAGGAUUAGUUAUGUUCAUUGAAUGAGUUUUAAAACCAAAUGGAAGACAUAUCGAUUUCAGAACCCUUGGAAUGGUUGAACAACUUGAUGAAUUUCUUAUGUAUCUGUGGGGACGUAAAACAUACUUUGUUUUACUAAAUUCAUUGCAAGAAUCACACUUCGAAAGAAUGCAAAUGAUGCAACAAAAUGACCAAACGGAUUGUAAAUAUUCAUUAUAAGGUUAUCCACUUGCAUUCCAGGUAUUUUUCUUUUAUUUUUUUCCCUGUUACGUAUAAUUUAAUUAUAUAAAAACUUUAAUAUUUCUUUUAUUUUUAUUUCAGUAUUGGAUCUAUGAAGCUUUUCCUCAAAUUGAAAGACAAUUCGGACGUCGUAUCCGUACAAGCUUCCAGUGUCCACGAAUGCAUAAAUGGAAGCCCAAAAUAGUAUUAACAGAACAAGUCGUUCAUGUCCUAUACUCAUUUUGAUUGGG